AUAAGCGCCGGUAAGGUGAUAUGAACCGUUAUAACCGGCGAUUUCCGAAUGGGGAAACCCAGUGUGACUCGUCACACUAUCAUUAACUGAAUCCAUAGGUUAAUGAGGCGAACCGGGGGAACUGAAACAUCUAAGUACCCCGAGGAAAAGAAAUCAACCGAGAUUCCCCCAGUAGCGGCGAGCGAACGGGGAGGAGCCCAGAGCCUGAAUCAGCAUGUGUGUUAGUGGAAGCGUCUGGAAAGGCGCGCGAUACAGGGUGACAGCCCCGUACACAAAAGCGCAUGUGCUGUGAGCUCGAUGAGUAGGGCGGGACACGUGGUAUCCUGUCUGAAUAUGGGGGGACCAUCCUCCAAGGCUAAAUACUCCUGACUGACCGAUAGUGAACCAGUACCGUGAGGGAAAGGCGAAAAGAACCCCGGCGAGGGGAGUGAAAAAGAACCUGAAACCGUGUACGUACAAGCAGUGGGAGCCCCACCACUAAGCCAGUGGUGAACUCCACAUACGCAUCCUUUGCUGAGGAUACGGUUAACGGAGCGAAAGCGACGUUCAACCGCAAAAGAAGCAGAGGGGGCUUAGUGGUGGGGUGACUGCGUACCUUUUGUAUAAUGGGUCAGCGACUUAUAUUCUGUAGCAAGGUUAACCGAAUAGGGGAGCCGGAGGGAAACCGAGUCUUAACCGGGCGUUAAGUUGCAGGGUAUAGACCCGAAACCCGGUGAUCUAGCCAUGGGCAGGUUGAAGGUUGGGUAACACUAACUGGAGGACCGAACCGACUAAUGUUGAAAAAUUAGCGGAUGACCUGUGGCUGGGGGUGAAAGGCCAAUCAAACCGGGAGAUAGCUGGUUCUCCCCGAAAGCUAUUUAGGUAGCGCCUCGUGAAUUCAUCUCCGGGGGUAGAGCACUGUUUCGGCUAGGGGGCCAUCCCGGCUUACCAACCCGAUGCAAACUGCGAAUACCGGAGAAUGUUAUCACGGGAGACACACGGCGGGUGCUAACGUCCGUCGUGAAGAGGGAAACAACCCAGACCGCCAGCUAAGGUCCCAAAGUCAUGGUUAAGUGGGAAACGAUGUGGGAAGGCCCAGACAGCCAGGAUGUUGGCUUAGAAGCAGCCAUCAUUUAAAGAAAGCGUAAUAGCUCACUGGUCGAGUCGGCCUGCGCGGAAGAUGUAACGGGGCUAAACCAUG
rnacentral:rRNA from 1 species